CCUACGGGCGACAGCAGUGGGGAAUAUUGGGCAAUGGGCGCAAGCCUGACCCAGCAACGCCGCGUGAAGGAAGAAGGCUUUCGGGUUGUAAACUUCUUUUAUCAGGGACGAAGCAAGUGACGGUACCUGAUGAAUAAGCCACGGCUAACUACGUGCCAGCAGCCGCGGUAAUACGUAGGUGGCAAGCGUUAUCCGGAUUUACUGGGUGUAAAGGGCGUGUAGGCGGGAAAGCAAGUCAGAUGUGAAAACCAUGGGCUCAACCUGUGGCCUGCAUUUGAAACUGGUUUUCUUGAGUACUGGAGAGGCAGACGGAAUUCCUAGUGUAGCGGUGAAAUGCGUAGAUAUUAGGAGGAACACCAGUGGCGAAGGCGGUCUGCUGGACAGCAACUGACGCUGAGGCGCGAAAGCGUGGGGAGCAAACAGGAUUAGAUACCCGGGUAGUC
rnacentral:rRNA from 1 species